ensembl:snRNA U6 U6 spliceosomal RNA
AAACGCUCCUGUGAUUAUACUAAAUUUGGAUUGAUACAGAGAAGAUUAGCAUGGCCCCUGCGAAAAAGGAUGACACGCAAAUCCGUGAAGCGCUCCAUCUUUUG